UACGUAGGAUGCAAGCGUUAUCCGGAUUUAUUGGGCGUAAAGGGGGCGCAGGCGGCUUGGUAAGUCGGUUGUAAAAUCUCCUGGCUUAACUAGGAGGGACCAACCGAUACUGCCAGGCUCGAGUGCAGCAGGGGAAAGUGGAAUUCCCGGUGUAGUGGUGAAAUGCGUAGAUAUCGGGAGGAACACCAGUGGCGAAGGCGGCUUUCCAGGCUGUUACUGACGCUGAGACCCGAAAGCGUGGGGAG
rnacentral:rRNA from 1 species